UACGGGGGGAGCAAGCGUUGUUCGGAUUUACUGGGCGUAAAGCGUGCGUAGGUGGUCGUUUAAGUCUGUCGUGAAAGCCCUGGGCUCAAGCUGGGAAUUGCGAUGGAUACUGGGCGACUAGAGUGUGGUAGAGGAUAGUGGAAUUUCCGGUGUAGCAGUGAAAUGCGUAGAGAUCGGAAGGAACAUCUGUGGCGAAGGCGACUAUCUGGGCCAACACUGACACUGAGGCACGAAAGCGUGGGGAGCAAACAGG
rnacentral:rRNA from 1 species